rnacentral:rRNA from 1 species
CGUUCCCGGGUCUUGUACACACCGCCCGUCACACCACGAGAGUUUGUAACACCCGAAGCCGGUGGGGUAACCUUUUGGAGCCAGCCGUCUAAGGUGGACAGAUGAUUGGGGUG